ensembl:processed_transcript Foxd2os forkhead box D2, opposite strand
AGAGGUCCUCUGCUCCCGGGCCCGGCGGGAACAAACUGCCGCGGUGGCGGGAGCUAGGCUCGCUUGGCUGGAGGCGGGUCAUCCUUCUCCUCGCAGCUCCCGCAACCCCGUGGCUCCCUGGAGCCACCAUCACCUUCAGUGCGCUCAGUUACUGGAAGUCAAAGCUUAUGCCGGCGCAGCUGCAUCUGGUGGUGGCAGUGGCUACAAACCUCCUCUCCUCAUCUCCCCAAGGCGGCGCCCGGGCCACCCGGGCCGAAGCGCGGAUGGAUCGCCAGACCGACGCCGCGGACAAGGACCUACUGGAGGCUAAGGAAGUUCUGGAGGACAAGUGAAGAGAGUGAUCCAGAGGAACAAACUCGGGCGCCGGAAGAUCCUACUCAGAGAGGCUAAAGAUUCCAAAGGAUGGAGGAAGAGAAGGCUUCGUAGGAACCAGAACAGCUGUCAGCUGCAGAGCCAAGCUUCUCCAGGAAGCCUUAGUCAUCCUGAGUCCCUCCCAUCUCAGAAAUGAUGUGUAGUUUCCAAAACAAUUUAUCUCUACUGGAACAAGGAAAUAAACAAAAGAAAAAGGAAGAGAUAGAAUCCAGGAAGCAGAAGGCGUAACACAGGACCGAGAUGAAGGGAUGUGACAGAGCACUUGAUUCACCUGUUCACGGCAUGGGUUUGAUCUCCAGCGUUGCAAAGCAAAGAGAAAGAAAGAAAGAAAGAAAGAAAGAAAGAAAGAAAGAAAGAAAGAAAGAAAGAAAGGAUGAAGAGAUGGCUCAGUAGUUGGGAGCACUGACUGCUUCAUCAGAGGUCUUCAAUUCCCAGAAACCACAUGGUGACUCACAACCAUCUGUAAUGGGAUCUGAUGCCUUCUUCUCGUGUGUCUGAAGACAGUGUACUGAUAUACAUAAAAUAAAUACAUAAAUAAAAAUAAAUAAAAUUUUAAAUUUUUAUAUGUAUG